ensembl:misc_RNA Y_RNA Y RNA
CAUAGGUCUGAUGGUAGUGGGUUAUCAGAAAUUACGAUUAGGAGUUAAACCAACAGUGGCAUGUUCUACCCUGCUGCUAAUGUGGACUGGUGUCUU